CCCAAUCGGGCGAGGCGCUGUCUCCGCGUGGGCGGGACUUGGCGCGCGCAGGCGGUGCCGCCCCCUCCGCCCCGGAGCCGCGAGCUGCCCGCCGGCACCUCCUGCCGGUGCCCGCCUCGGGGAGAUGCGUGGGCCAACCGCCCCGGGGGAGUAAGAAGAUACGGUUUGGGUCCCUCCUUUUCAUCCGCCUUGCGCUCUUGCCUGUGACCAUCCAGCUGGAGGCCGCUGCCCCGAGCGCUUUCCUAGCAGUCAUGCCGCCAAUAGCCUGCUAGCCUGCGUGAGCUCUUUAGUACAGGGGACAAAUGCAUCCUGCUUUGCAACCUCAGGGCCUUGAUAAUUAAAUAGAUGAACAACACCGGUUUUAUUCUUGGAUGAAGACUGCACAAAAAUAAGUUAUCCUGGAAUAAAUGUUUAAAUAUUUUAGG